rnacentral:lncRNA from 1 species
UGUUUUGAAGAAAGUUCACUUUAUAUACUUCUAUUGACCCUAGAAGCAAAAUAGCAUAAGGGCACAUUCAGACACACUGCUUGCCAAAACUGCAUUCCUAAAGGAUAAAUUAUUUGGGGUACCCUUUUGGCUCUUGGCCCUCUGGUCCUGUCCUGGACCAUUGGCAAUAUAACAGAGACAGCUUUCUGCUUCUCAAGAAAGGAUUUUUUUUACAUCAUCAGAAAACAUCAAGUGAAUCAAGAAAGAAUAGAGCUCUGAGGACCACUGAAGAUUCAUGAGGAUCUUUGUGAAUGCUCUGCAGAUGAAAAAGGUAUUGGGGAUCACUUUGAAAUAUGGAGUUAGGGAGGGAGACUAUGAAGAAAAAAGAAAAAAACUUGGAGAGAAGGAACACCUUGAAGAUGAAGACAUUGCAUCUAGAAUGAAGGGUGAAAAAAAAGCUGAUACAUUUCAAUCAAUGUACAAGUGAUUGGAGCAGACUGAGAAAUUCAAUUCAGAUUCUUUGUGAACAUAAAAGUUUUGUGAACCUGAGUAUAUGUUUUAUCUUCUCAUCCUGGUUUCCAACAUUAGGUGGCUCUGACCUGCUCUCCCACAAGAGUGUAAAUUCAGCAAGGGUAGGGG